rnacentral:rRNA from 1 species
AGACGACUCUCGGCAACGGAUAUCUCGGCUCUCGCAUCGAUGAAGAACGUAGCGAAAUGCGAUACUUGGUGUGAAUUGCAGAAUCCCGUGAACCAUCGAGUCUUUGAACGCAAGUUGCGCCCGAGGCCACUCGGCCGAGGGCACGCCUGCCUGGGCGUCACGCCACCCAUCGCCACCCCCCCGCGGCAUUCCCAUGCCCCGCCGGGGAGCGGAGACUGGCCGUCCGUGCCCGAGCCCUCGGCGCGCGGUCGGCAGAAAAGGAGGACACCGUGCGGCGAGACACGGCGUGUGGGGGUUGAGAGGCGACUCGUCGCCGAUCGUACGUCGCGCCCGCAUUCCGCCGCGCGCAGUGUCACCCGUGGGACCGGACUCGCCCGCAGCCGCGGGCGCUCGGACCGCGACCCCAGGUCAGGCGUGGCCACCCGCUGAAUUUAAGCAUAUCAAUAAGCGGAGGAGAAGAAACUUACGAGGAUUCCCCUAGUAACGGCGA